GGAGGCGUGGCGCUGGAAGCCCCGCCCCGGCGCAGACAGCUGGAAUUGGGCGAGGGGGGCGGCAGUGGGAUGAAUUGUUUGGGAGCCGGCGGCGCAGCGCCCGCCUGGCUCCGCUCCCGCGCAGGGGCCGCUCCGCCCAGUGUCCCCCCCCACCCCCACCCUGCGCGGGGGGGGGCAAGGGGCCCCGCGCGCGCUGGGGCGGAGUUUGGGGAACCGCGGGAGGAGGCGCCGGCUGCAGAGGCCCCCGCAGCUGCCCGAGGAAGCGGGGUCCGAGCCCCGCGACACGCGUGGGCCCUGCCCGCAGGCGAGCCCUGUCGGGGGACGAGCCCCCAUCGCCGUGGAAAGGAGGUGAACGCUGACCCCCCGCCCCCCACCCACGGCGAGGGACCCUCUCCUGAGCCCCUGGCCCCCCCUCGCCGUGCCGGAGAACGGGGGGGGGGCAGCCCGCGCCGGGGGCUCCCGGGAGGCGAGUGGAAAGUUGUGGAAGUGAAAACUCGCGUGGGAUCCAGGAGCAAAACUGCCUGCAAGUUCUGCAGCGGGAGCAGCCCCCUCCCCCGCUCUCCCUGCCCGGGGGGUGGGGUCUAGGCUGGGGGGGGUCCCUCUGCUCGGCUGCCCCCCGAGGCGGGGCUGCUGGCCGGGGGCGCGCGUGGGAGCCCCGGCACUGAUGGGGCAGCGCCUGGCCGGCUGAGGAGGAGGAGCGGGGAGCGGGCUCCUCCCCCGGGGGGUGCCCUGGCCAUGGAGGCAGCCGCGAGAUCGCCGCCUCCCCGGCUCCCUCCCCCGCCGCCGCCGCUGCUCCGAAGUCUCUGCUGCGAUUCCCUGCUUCUUUCCUCCGGAGCCGCCUCCGCCCCAAGGGCUCUUCCCCGCCGAGCCAGGGGGCCCGCACCCGGGGACUGAGCCGCCGCUGCCUCCGCGACCAGACCCGGAGCACCUGCCGCGCUGAGCCAGGCGCGUGGGUGAGACAUCGGGGACACAGCCUGUCACAGCCGGGACCGAAGCUGCUGGCGACGGGAUGGUGGAAGUCCUAGGGGAGCCGGCCUUGACUGUCCUCCAGCUCAGGGAGCAGCUGAGGAGUAACAGCAGCCGACGUCCCGCCCAGCUGCUCCGUGGCUGCCGCGUCUCCUGAUCUGGGCCGCUCUUCUCCGCUCCCAGCUCUCUGGGACUCCGGCCCCCCCCUGACGCAAGAGCGUAGCGGAGAUCCGGCCGCUGCCACCGCCUGCGGCCCCAGGGCGAGCGGAUCGCUGGAGGGGGCAGUGCCGUAUCACACGUUUCAUGGUGAAGGAGAGGGUGGUUGGGAUCUAAAGCAGCCCCCCACUGGGAGGAGACAGAGAUUGCCAACACCCGCCUCAUCCCCCCACCAGGGGAAAGCCCCUCCGCAGGCGACCCCCCUGCUAACCUCCUCUGGAAUGAGAGAUUCUUGGGACUUAGGGCAGAAAACGUCUGGGGCUUGCCUGGAGCUGGGGCUUCAAGACCACUUCUAGACCCAGCCGUUCACCUCCUCCCCUGCCAAUGCAUUUGGGGUGGGCACAGCCGUCUCCGUCUUUGAGCCAGGCGUCUCUCCCAGAGCAGGCAGAGGCCCCAGGGUCGAUGGGCAGAGGGGAGGCCUGUCUUUCCCAGGGGAGUGAGCGGCCUCGCCCUUGACUGCCUCCCUGGGGAGCGGCGAUGGGGUCAGGGCUGUCCACCGGAGCAGUAGUUGCGAUUUCCUUUAACUGCGUCAUCGCUUUGCUGAUCCUCAUCCUCUUCCUGAUCCUGUGCAAGGCCUGCAGGACCCCGUCCUGCCCCAAGAAGAGCCCGGACGUGGAUGAGACGAAGAAUGAGGAGAAAUAUCUGCUCCAGCCUUGAGUCGCUCCACGUCCCAGGACAGCUGGGGUGCUGAGGGUUUGAAGGAAGGAUUGAUAGCUUGUCUCAUGGGCUCUUCCCACCAACUAGCUUGUAAGCCAGACCACACAGAGACCCCCAGGCCUGCGUUCAGGAAGCAGCUUGUCCUGCCUUGGACCUGACUGAGGAGUUUGAGCGGCCAGGCCGGCCGGCAUCAGUUCCCUCACAGUCACCCGAGGGAGAAGGGAGCGUGUGUCCGGGUGGGGGCUGCCCUGAUGAGGGGGCUCUGCAGAACGGACGCUCAGGGGGAAGUGACUCAAAAUGAAGAGGAGACUGAGCGGGACUCGGGGGGGAGUGUGGGAGGCAGGCUGGGCCUUUCACCAAAGGACUCGCGCUCGCUGGACCCCUCUGCCGCGGGGCCACCUGUGCUGGACUCGGUCCUGGUUGUGGCUGGCUGAGCCCCUCGCAAAGGGCUAGUGAGGCUGCAUAAAGGAACUCUCAUUCUCGGGGGUCGUCCAGCCCCUCUCCCAUUGCACUGCCUGGGUUGCAAACAAACCCCCGAUGAGCGGGGGCACGGGCAGGCGAGCCUCCAGGGCAGGACGUGCUCCCUGGCAAGCAAGUUCUCUCCAAAGCCUCAUCUAGCUGGCAGGGAGAGCUGCCUUCAGGCCGUUCUGUUUGCUUGGGGUGGUGUCCUCUGAGGCGCUAGCAGCUGCAGGGACCACCCGUAAGGCUUGGCUUCCCCAGCCCGUGGGGCACGGUGAGCCGGAUGCCGUCGCCAGUGUGAACGUCACGAUAAACAGCCGCUAGAGUCUGUGUGCUGACAAACCCUGUGUGGCCGGCCAGCCGGGAGCAGGCAGCUUGUGAUUGUUAAAUAUAGACGAGGGGGCUGGAUGGGUUCGUUUGGGGCUUUGCCUGGCUUGAGAGCGCUCUGGAGUCAGAUGGUUUGGGCACGAUCCCCAAAGCUAUUUAGGUGCCUAAUUCCCACUGAAAUCAAUGAGAUGCUGUAGCUGGGGAGAGCUGCUGGCCCCUUCCCACGCCCCGCUAUUCCCCUCAGAACUCUCCUCGGGGUCGGAGGCAGCCCCAGGGUCUCGGAGUAGCCUGGCUCAGCUGUGUCCAUCCCACCCCUUCUCUCGGCCCCCGGAGCCAGGCACACCCAGUUACCAGCCGCAGCAGGGGUGCUUCCAGCCCAACGCGCUCGCACUGGCUACCAAGCACCCCUGGGCUCUGCGCAGUCUGGGGGUUGGGCAAGCCCAGCCUGCAUCCCCCAUCUCUCCUUGUUACAGUCCUGUCAUUUGCACUGAACGCCAUGAACUUAGCCCCUGCCCCGCUGAGGGACCUGCGUGACUUGGCUGUUCCCGGCUGGUCCCUUGGGGUAGAGACAGUCCAGGAGGGAGUGGGGAAAGCUGGCCAGCUGGCUGGGAGGAGAAGGGUGCCCCCUCUGUAGUCAGUGUGUCUUUGUUUCCCUGUGCCGGAGGGCCAGGCCUGCUCAGAGCCCCGCGAGCGCCCAGAGUAGCUGCAGCGGCUGUGCGGUCGGUCAAAGGCGAUGAGGAUUUCUGCCACGGGGAUAGCUGGGAGCCUUAGUGGUGCUGGUGCCCCCCUGUCCUGGGGUCCCUCUGCCCCCUUCCUUUGUGUAAAGGCCCAGCCUUGCUGGGAGCAGACCUGCUGGCUGCCAGGGCAUUCCUGCUGGGAGGCCUGAGGCUGUUCCUGUAAGUGACCUUUUAGGAGCACGCGGCUCCUUUUUCCCCUGUCUCGGCCCUUCCGCCCCCUCCUGAGGGUUGUACCCUCAGCCCCAUGGCAGGCUCUCCUCCUGCUUCCAGCCAAUCCCACCCACUGGGUUCCUCGGUCCUAGGGAGGUCUGCUGCAGCCUGGGAGCCUGGCGUUGCAUCCGCACGCGCUGGGCUCCAGGUCAGGCGCCAGGCGCUGUGACGUCACACGUGUCGCCUUGCCAGCCCUUUGUGAUGUCACACGCAGGCGUUAGGGUUACGGCAAUUCACCAUCAAGUGUAAACUUCUGAAAGGGGAGCGUGUCCCUGCCCCUGGGCUGCCUGGCUGCACCUGGAACGUGUGCCAGGCGCUUUGUGCCUGGCCCUGUACCUGUGUGUCCCCGCAAUCACGUUGUCUCUGGCACGCUUGGCAGCUGGGGGCUCCCUGGGCAGCCCUGAAAUGUUGGACAGGAAUCAACCCCGCAGAUCAUCAUGGGCCUGUCAUCAGAGCUUCCCACCCGGCCGCUGCCAGCUUCAGCCAUGCCAGCUAGAGGUGCCGCUCUGCUUUCUACUGGGGUGGGCACGGGGAACACGCAGUCGCUGCAGGUCCUGGGCCAGGAGUCCUGAGAUACCUAGGAGAAUAAAUGAAAGGAUCUUCCAACCCAAUGCAAUUCAGGCAGCAGCCAGUACUGAUGCUAAGGGGUGAUGAACGGACUUCACAGCAAACCAGUCCCUGUGGUCCGGCACAUCACCAUGUUGCUGAUUACAGGCACUUGCCCCUGAGAGCAUCAGCGUUCACAGGCCCGCACAGCCCCCAGUGCCCACCCCCAUCCAUCCCCUGCCCUCACUUAGCACUCUGCAUUAUCAGAGCCUCAGUAAAUCACCUGCAGCCUAGUUUACAGCCAAGCAAUAGGUCGAUGCUCAUCAGACAAAGGCCUUCGCAGGGGUCUUUGGUGCAGUCAUCAACUCUUCUCCCCCUUCCCCCGAGUCAGCACAGCUGUUGCAAUAAGCACGCUUGUAUGUGUGUGUGGGGGGGGGUCUGGGUUGUAUGCCCAACACAGCUGGGUUGCCAGCAGGGUCCCCUGGGGCAGGAUCUGUGCUCCUCACCCAGGUGGCUUUUGUUCUUUCACUUGCUAAGAGGCAGCGUGACUAUGUUUCCUUUUGGCUUCUCAUGGUAAUGACGCGCCGUCAGGUGUAACGUCCCUUUGCGGUUGUGUUUUUACUAGACUAAUAAAACUAUCAUAGUAAAUAGGAA